ACGGGAGGCAGCAGUGGGGAAUAUUGCACAAUGGGCGGAAGCCUGAUGCAGCGAUGCCGCGUGAGGGAAGAAGGUUUUCGGAUUGUAAACCUCUGUCCUCAGGGACGAUAAUGACGGUACCUGAGGAGGAAGCUCCGGCUAACUACGUGCCAGCAGCCGCGGUAAUACGUAGGGAGCGAGCGUUGUCCGGAAUUACUGGGUGUAAAGGGUGCGUAGGCGGGACGGCAAGUCAGAUGUGAAAUGUAUGGGCUUAACCCAUAACCUGCAUUUGAAACUGUUGUUCUUGAGUGAGGUAGAGGUAAGCGGGAUUCCUAGUGUAGCGGUGAAAUGCGUAGAUAUUAGGAGGAACAUCGGUGGCGAAGGCGGCUUACUGGGCUUUUACUGACGCUGAGGCUCGAAAGCGUGGGGAGCAAACAGGAUUAGAUACCCUGGUA
rnacentral:rRNA from 1 species